rnacentral:sRNA from 1 species
AAAAAAGCUUAAAAGAUUCAUGAAUGCAAAGGGUAGAAUAAGUUCUUAUAUUGGGAUUGGAGAUGGGAUUACCAUUAGAGCUUCAUUUGAUAUACUCUGGGUAGAUGGGAUCUUAUCUCUGUAUGCAUAGCUUGGGACUUACCUUUAACAUUCUACUAAAGCUUAAUCAUUUUUUGAGAGAUCCCCUGUUACUGAAGCCUAUUCUGUAAGGGACCAUCUUUGUCUCUUGACCUUUUACCUUAGCCAAAUGAGUUCAUUGAUGAUGCAUUGCUUGAUUCACGUUCCAGAACUAAUGAAUGUUAAAGGGAUUGGUAGAUUUGAAAACUUGUGUAGGUCGAGCAUAUAAGUCGGAUUGAUUGAUGAUGAGGCAUGGCUAACGUUUUUAAGUAGAAUUCGAUCUUGCAGCUUAGAACUUUCAACUUGGACAUUGAUUUCAUCUAGUUUAUCUGGUGCUUUGGCUCUGAGUCCCCGCUUUCAAACCUCACCUCCAGCUUGUUCUUGAUUGUUUGCUUGAGGGCAAGCAAAGACUAAGUUUGGGGGAGUGGAUAAGUGUGUAUUUUGCAUGUUUUGAGCAUCCAUUUGUCAUCACUUUAGCAUCAUAUCAUCACUGUUUUAUACCAUUUCUCAUCAUUUGUCAUCACUUUACAUGUUUAGGAUAGAUUUGCAUGCAUGUUGCAUCUUUGCGUUGAUUUCAGGUGAUUUGGAGCUGUUGACGAGCUAUCUGGAAGAAGCGGACCUGAUCAUGUCAAACCACUCGACCCCGAGGUCGAGUAGGAGCUUCAAGAUCUCAACAGAUCACUCGACCCCCUGGUCGAGUAGAGGACAUCACUACUUGACCACAUCACUCGACUCCGAGGUCGAGUGUCUUCAUCCCAUCACCUGACCAUCACUCGAUCACAUCACUCGACCCCGAGGCCGAGUGUCUUCACCUUCAUUGCCAGACCACUACUCGACCUCAUCACUCCACAUGGAAGUCGAGUAUCACCAUCACCACCACUCGAUUGCAUACUCGAUGACAAGCUUCAGAGCCUUCUUCAUUCCGCACUCAACCAGACACUCGAGCACAAGGAAGAAAAGAAGACUCCAGCUAUUCACUCGACCUCCCACUCGACCACAUGGGUCGAGUACAGUUCGGAAUAUUUGGCUAUAAGUAGCAUGUACUUCACAUUUUCGCAGACAAGUUUUUAUCUAGUUUUAUUGAGCAGACCUUGUGUUCUAGACCUUUUGUAAUCCGGAUUUCUCUUUAUCUAUUCAGUAUUCAGUAUUCAGGUUUUGUUCUUCAUUUCGUUUACUGUUGUUCAUUCUGUUAUCAUCCUGCUGUUACACUGUUGUUAUCAUGUUUUCAACUUGUUCAACGUUUAUGCUUUCUGUUAUGAUGUCUGAGUAGUGAAUAGGUUUCUGAGGAUGGGUUAGAGUAGUGUAGAAUUCUCAGUAUGCUAGGUGAUUGAGUAUUGAUUGAUAGAGCCCUUCUGGAUUAGUUGUUCUUAAUGCCUAUUGCUUUCUGAUCAACUGGAAUUUGAGCCCAGACAUUUCCGCGCCCAAAAAGUGUUCGAUGAAAUGUCUGAACCACUAAUUCCAGAGAUUCGUGACCCUGUACCUGUUGAUUCGUAAUGCCUGUUAGGUUAGCUCUCGUCAAUGGUGAUUGAGUCUGGGACUAGGUUAACUUGAGAGUCUCUAUUGCGGUGGCACUUAGAUUUGGUUAAUGAACUUGUUGUCUAGGGUUAAGGAAACGAAACUACUCAAUUACCCCAUCCUCGGGAAUUCUUUAUCUGAUUGAAUUCUUUGUUUACUCUACUGUUGUUUACUGCAUCUUGUUAUCUGUCGCUUAAUUUCUGCAGUUCUUUUUUGUUACUUGACCUCAUACUCGACCACCCAGUUGUCUGGCAACAGACUAUGCAGUCGAGUAUCUGAGUUUUAUUUUCUGUCUAUUACUCGACCUGUCACUCGACCUCACCCAGUGCUCUACAAAGAGCUGUGUUGGUCGAGUGUUUUGCUGUUUUUGCUUGAAUUUCUGUUUUCUGCAUGUUCACUUAGAACUGCUAGAACACACCACAACCUGUUAUUGCUUGGCUUGACUUAGUGACUUCUAAUCACAUCUUGAUUGUUAGCAUCACACCCAUUUGGAUUGACAACCUUCAGUAUUACAACGACAUGAUAGUGCUUUAGGUUUAAUUGACUU